GAUAUAGUUUAGUGGUAGAGCACUUGUCUAGCAUGCAUGAGACCCUGGGUUCAAUCCCCAGUAUC
rnacentral:tRNA from 1 species